UACGAAGGGGGCUAGCGUUGCUCGGAAUCACUGGGCGUAAAGCGCACGUAGGCGGCUUGCUAAGUCAGGGGUGAAAUCCUGGAGCUCAACUCCAGAACUGCCUUUGAUACUGGCGAGCUCGAGUCCGGGAGAGGUGAGUGGAACUGCGAGUGUAGAGGUGAAAUUCGUAGAUAUUCGCAAGAACACCAGUGGCGAAGGCGGCUCACUGGCCCGGUACUGACGCUGAGGUGCGAAAGCGUGGGGAGCAAACAGG
rnacentral:rRNA from 1 species